rnacentral:lncRNA from 10 species
GACAUGGGGCCAAGAGCUGAGGCAGACUGGCCAGAUUUCAGAAGGUCACUUUGGUUUAGGAAGUGAGGCUUUGUGGGAGGCAGGGAAGGGGCGCAUAGGCGUAGCAAGAGAUGUCAGCCCUGCCUGAUUUCACGGUGGUGAUUACUGAGUGAUUUCUGGAUUAGCCUUUCACACUUGAGGGUUCACUGAGCACUGGCCACUUCCUCCUCUUUUCCAUUCUUGUUUUCUUUGCUUUUGAAACUGUCCACCCUCCCUCCUCUUCCCCCACUCAGGAGAAGAUUUAUAUGAAGGCUUUUUUUUGGUUGGCAAAGAACAGCUUCUCACAAAGUGCAUGGCACAGUAAGAUGCUUUCAUCUAAGAGACAUGCUUUGUCCUGUGUGCAUGAUGCCAGUGAAAAAUGUGCUCUUCAAACCAUGGGAGCACACUUCAGUUCAGCAUUUCCAUCGCAUCAGGGCUGGUCUGACAAUGCAUGUAGGUCACGAACAACUGCUAAAGAUCGAUCCUUGCCACUUCUUUUUGAGGGAAUUGGAGUUAAUACAGAAUAUCCAAAGAUAACAGGAGGAAUCAAGUCGGGGUUGAUGUGCCCCCACCCCCCACCCCCAAGCAAAUGAAUCAUCUCUCUUCCGAAGGAACCGUUCCAUCCAAUAGCACCACCUAAAGACCCUUUUGGAAGACUGCGGUAUGCUCCACUGGAGUGCUCUGAAAAUAGCCCUGUAGUGAUUAACGUAAGGACAAGAAUGAUUCUGCUGGGAUUUGUUUUUCAAGCACCCUGUUUUUGUGGCCAAGAACACAUUCCUUGAAUGGAUACACUUCAGGUUGUUAUAUAGACAGUAGUGGGGGAUUGGAGAAGGUUUAAGAUGUACUUCAACAUGGAAUAAUAAGCGAUCAUUUUUCAGGGGUCCCCAACCCUCGGGCUGCAGACCGGUAUGGGUCCGUGGCCUUUUAGGAACAGAGCUACACACAGGAGAUGAGUGGUGGGCGAGCGAGCGAAGCUUCAUCUGUAUUUACAGCCGCUCCCCAUUGCUGGCAUUGCCACCUGAGCUCCACCUCCUGUUAUAUCAGUAGUGAUGUUAGAUUCUCAUAGAAGUGCAAACCCCAUUGUGAACUGCG